GUAGGUGGCAAGCGUUGUCCGGAAUUAUUGGGCGUAAAGCGCGCGCAGGCGGUUCUUUAAGUCUGAUGUGAAAGCCCACGGCUCAACCGUGGAGGGUCAUUGGAAACUGGAGAACUUGAGUACAGAAGAGGAAAGCGGAAUUCCACGUGUAGCGGUGAAAUGCGUAGAGAUGUGGAGGAACACCAGUGGCGAAGGCGGCUUUCUGGUCUGUAACUGACGCUGAGGCGCGAAAGCGUGGGGAGCAAACAGGAUUAGAUACCCUGGUAGUCCACGCCGUAAACCGAUGAGUGCUAAUGUUAGGGGGGUUUUCCGCCCCCCUUAGUGCUGCAGCUAACGCAUUAAGCACUCCGCCUGGGAGUACGGCCGCAAGGCUG
rnacentral:rRNA from 1 species